rnacentral:rRNA from 1 species
CCCUGCCAUUUGUACACACCGCCCGUCGUUGUUUCCGAUGAUGGUGCAAUGCAGGUGAUCGGACAUUCGGAAGUUCUGCUUCUGUUUGGAAGUUCACCGACAUUUCUUCAAUAGAGGAAGCAAAAGUC